ACUUCAUCUAGUACUAUUUCGGUUCAUCAUGUCGUGAUAUCAACCAUACCAACCUAUGUCAGUCCAUUGUUCCGUUUUUCUGUUGCUUCAACACAUACACAUGCAUACAUCAAACGCGGAACUUACUUCAUUACGGUCGAUUUGACGUCCACAUUUGUUUAUGUUUAAACAUUUCGAACACCACAACGAACGACUCAACAACUAAUUACUGUUCGGUUAAUUGAAUUUCUGAUUAAGAGUAACAAUGGUACUGCAGUGCAUUGUGAAAGGAUGUGAAACUGUUGGAAAAAACGGAUUCCACAGCUUUCCGACGAACAAAGUGGUUGCAGAAAAGUGGAUUUUGGCUACAAAAGCCAUUCAUUUACUGGAACGUUUAAAAUCAAACAAACUAUCAAACUCCUUCUACAAACUUUGUAGAAAACAUUUUCUACAUACCGACCUGGUAGAAAAUGGAAAAGGCCAAAUAAUUGUGAAGCAGGACUCCACACCAAGCCUCUUUCUGCCAACUGAUGUCGAUUACGACAUUAAUCAGAUACAGCUUUCUUCAUCGAAGCCCAAGCCAGUCAAGCGACUACAGCACCAGCAUUCACCGACAGGGAAAAACUCUACGAAAUUGUCGGAAAAGGAAAAUGACAGCGAAAUAGAUGUGGAAGGUGUAUCGUCAGAAGAGGAGAUUGACCUGCAUGG